rnacentral:rRNA from 1 species
UACGUAGGGGGCAAGCGUUGUCCGGAAUCAUUGGGCGUAAAGCGCGUGUAGGCGGCUCGAUAAGUCUGCUGUGAAAGUUCAGGGCUCAACCCUGAAAUGCCGGUGGAAACUGCCGGGCUAGAGUCCGGAAGAGGCGAGUGGAAUUCCUGGUGUAGCGGUGAAAUGCGCAGAUAUCAGGAGGAACACCAAUGGCGAAGGCAGCUCGCUGGGACGGUACUGACGCUGAGACGCGAAAGCGUGGGGAGCAAACAGG